rnacentral:rRNA from 1 species
CCCUUAGAUGUUCUGGGCCGCACGCGCGCUACACUGAUGCAUUCAACGAGUUUCUUCCUGGUCCGAGAGGAAUGGGUAACCUUUUGAAAGUGCAUCGUGAUAGGGAUAGACUAUUGCAAUUAUUGGUCUUCAACGAGGAAUUCCUAGUAGACGUAGUUCAUCAGACUGCAUCGAUUACCUCCCUGCCCUUUGUACACACCGCCCGUCGCUCCUACCGAUUAAGUGAUCCGGUGAAUAGUUCGGACUGCUGCAAUGCUUGGAUCCCGAGAAUUGCGGCGAAAGUUUAGUGAACCUUAUCACUUAGAGGAAGGAGAAGUCGUAACA